CAAGGCUUGACAUAUAGAGGAAAAGUGCAGAAAUGCACUCCCCGCAAGGUCUCUAUACAGGUGGUGCAUGGUUGUCGUCAGCUCGUGUCGUGAGAUGUUGGGUUAAGUCCCGCAACGAGCGCAACCCUCGUCCUAUGUUGCCAGCACGUUAUGGUGGGAACUCAUGGGAUACUGCCGGGGUCAACUCGGAGGAAGGUGGGGAUGACGUCAAAUCAUCAUGCCCCUUAUGUCUUGGGCUUCACGCAUGCUACAAUGGCCGGUACAGAGGGCUGCAAUACCGCAAGGUGGAGCGAAUCCCAAAAAGCCGGUCUCAGUUCGGAUUGAGGUCUGCAACUCGACCUCAUGAAGUCGGAGUCGCUAGUAAUCGUAGAUCAGCAACGCUACGGUGAAUACGUUCCCA
rnacentral:rRNA from 1 species